rnacentral:rRNA from 1 species
UGGAAGCGUCUGGAAAGGCGCGCGAUACAGGGUGACAGCCCCGUACACAAAAAUGCACAUGCUGUGAGCUCGAUGAGUAGGGCGGGACACGUGGUAUCCUGUCUGAAUAUGGGGGGACCAUCCUCCAAGGCUAAAUACUCCUGACUGACCGAUAGUGAACCAGUACCGUGAGGGAAAGGCGAAAAGAACCCCGGCGAGGGGAGUGAAAAAGAACCUGAAACCGUGUACGUACAAGCAGUGGGAGCACGCUUAGGCGUGUGACUGCGUACCUUUUGUAUAAUGGGUCAGCGACUUAUAUUCUGUAGCAAGGUUAACCGAAUAGGGGAGCCGAAGGGAAACCGAGUCUUAACUGGGCGUUAAGUUGCAGGGUAUAGACCCGAAACCCGGUGAUCUAGCCAUGGGCAGGUUGAAGGUUGGGUAACACUAACUGGAGGACCGAACCGACUAAUGUUGAAAAAUUAGCGGAUGACUUGUGGCUGGGGGUGAAAGGCCAAUCAAACCGGGAGAUAGCUGGUUCUCCCCGAAAGCUAUUUAGGUAGCGCCUCGUGAAUUCAUCUCCGGGGGUAGAGCACUGUUUCGGCAAGGGGGUCAUCCCGACUUACCAACCCGAUGCAAACUGCGAAUACCGGAGAAUGUUAUCACGGGAGACACACGGCGGGUGCUAACGUCCGUCGUGAAGAGGGAAACAACCCAGACCGCCAGCUAAGGUCCCAAAGUCAUGGUUAAGUGGGAAACGAUGUGGGAAGGCCCAGACAGCCAGGAUGUUGGCUUAGAAGCAGCCAUCAUUUAAAGAAAGCGUAAUAGCUCACUGGUCGAGUCGGCCUGCGCGGAAGAUGUAACGGGGCUAAACCAUGCACCGAAGCUGCGGCAGCGACGCUUAUGCGUUGUUGGGUAGGGGAGCGUUCUGUAAGCCUGUGAAGGUGUGCUGUGAGGCAUGCUGGAGGUAUCAGAAGUGCGAAUGCUGACAUAAGUAACGAUAAAGCGGGUGAAAAGCCCGCUCGCCGGAAGACCAAGGGUUCCUGUCCAACGUUAAUCGGGGCAGGGUGAGUCGACCCCUAAGGCGAGGCCGAAAGGCGUAGUCGAUGGGAAACAGGUUAAUAUUCCUGUACUUGGUGUUACUGCGAAGGGGGGACGGAGAAGGCUAUGUUGGCCGGGCGACGGUUGUCCCGGUUUAAGCGUGUAGGCUGGUUUUCCAGGCAAAUCCGGAAAAUCAAGGCUGAGGCGUGAUGACGAGGCACUACGGUGCUGAAGCAACAAAUGCCCUGCUUCCAGGAAAAGCCUCUAAGCAUCAGGUAACAUCAAAUCGUACCCCAAACCAACACAGGUGGUCAGGUAGAGAAUACC